rnacentral:tRNA from 1 species
AGUGGUUAAGAGCUUGGCUGCUAACCAAAAGGUUGGCGGUUCCAAUCCGCCAGCCACUC